CUACGGGAGGCUCCAGUAGGGAAUCUUAGACAAUGGGGGAAACCCUGAUCUAGCCAUGCCGCGUGAGUGAUGAAGGCCUUAGGGUUGUAAAGCUCUUUCGCUGGGGAAGAUAAUGACGGUACCCAGUAAAGAAACCCCGGCUAACUCCGUGCCAGCAGCCGCGGUAAUACGGAGGGGGUUAGCGUUGUUCGGAAUUACUGGGCGUAAAGCGCGCGUAGGCGGGCUAUUAAGUCAGGGGUGAAAUCCCGGGGCUCAACCCCGGAACUGCCUUUGAUACUGGUAGUCUUGAGUUCGAGAGAGGUGAGUGGAAUUCCGAGUGUAGAGGUGAAAUUCGUAGAUAUUCGGAGGAACAUCAGUGGCGAAGGCGACUCACUGGCUCGAUACUGACGCUGGGGUGCGAAAGUGUGGGGAGCAAACAGGAUUAGAUACCCCCGUAGUC
rnacentral:rRNA from 1 species